rnacentral:rRNA from 1 species
UACGUAGGGUGCGAGCGUUGUCCGGAAUUAUUGGGCGUAAAGAGCUUGUAGGCGGUUUGUCGCGUCUGCUGUGAAAAUCCGGGACUCAACCCCGGACCUGCAGUGGGUACGGGCAGACUAGAGUGUGGUAGGGGAGACUGGAAUUCCUGGUGUAGCGGUGAAAUGCGCAGAUAUCAGGAGGAACACCAGUGCGGAAGGCAGGUCUCUGGGCCACUACUGACGCUGAGAAGCGAAAGCAUGGGGGAGCGAACAGG